CUAAGAACACCUUCAUGCAGCCCAAGCCAGGACGCCUGGGCUCUGGAGUCAGACAAUGAUUUUUGCGGAUUUAAUUAAGGAUCUGAAGAUGAGAUCAUCCUUGAUGAAUGGGGCGAGCCCUAAAUCUGAUGACACAGAUUUCUGUAAGAAGAGGAAAAGAUAUCCAGACACAGAGGAGUAGGCCAUGUGAAGACAGGGACAGAUUGGGGUGAUACCUCUACAAGCCAAGAAACACCCCAGGAUUCCUGACAGCCACUAGAAGCUGGGAGAAAGGUCACAAUUGGGCAUUUCCUGUCUUCGGAGUCUGUGACAGGGCUGAGAAGUGGCAGAAGAAAGGUCCUCUGCUUGUCUUUGUGAAAGGUGAG
ensembl:lncRNA